GACGAACGCUGGCGGCGUGCUUAACACAUGCAAGUCGAACGGAAAGGCCUUUUCGGAGGUACUCGAGCGGCGAACGGGUGAGUAACACGUGGGUGAUCUGCCCUGCACUCUGGGAUAAGCCUGGGAAACUGGGUCUAAUACCGGAUAGGACCGCACUUUAGUGUGUGUGGUGGAAAGUUUUUUCGGUGUAGGAUGAGCCCGCGGCCUAUCAGCUUGUUGGUGGGGUAAUGGCCUACCAAGGCGGCGACGGGUAGCCGGACUGAGAGGUUGGUCGGCCACAUUGGGACUGAGAUACGGCCCAGACUCCUACGGGAGGCAGCAGUGGGGAAUAUUGCACAAUGGGCGCAAGCCUGAUGCAGCGACGCCGCGUGGGGGAUGACGGCCUUCGGGUUGUAAACUCCUUUCGCCAGGGACGAAGCGUUUUGUGACGGUACCUGGAGAAGAAGCACCGGCUAACUACGUG
rnacentral:rRNA from 1 species